rnacentral:rRNA from 1 species
CGGUGUGUGAAGAAGGCUGAGGGGGUAAAAGCACUUUCAAUAGGAAGGAAUACCUGCCGGCUAAUACCCGGCAGACUGACAUUACCUAUACAAGAAGCACCGGCUAACUCCGUGCCAGCAGCCGCGGUAAUACGGAGGGUGCAAGCGUUAAUCGGAAUUACUGGGCGUAAAGCGUGCGUAGGCGGUUAUUUAAGUCAGAUGUGAAAGCCCCGGGCUUAACCUGGGAACUGCAUUUGAUACUGGAUAACUAGAGUUGAGUAGAGGAGAGUGGAAUUUCAGGUGUAGCGGUGAAAUGCGUAGAGAUCUGAAGGAACACCAGUGGCGAAGGCGGCUCUCUGGACUCAAACUGACGCUGAGGUACGAAAGCGUGGGUAGCAAACAGGAUUAGAUACCCUGGUAGUCCACGCCGUAAACGAUGUCAACUAACCGUUGGGUUCUUUAAGAACUUAGUGGUGGAGCUAACGUAUUAAGUUGACCGCCUGGGGAGUACGGCCGCAGGGCUAAAACUCAAAUGACUUGACGGGGGCCCGCACCC